AACGAACGCUGGCGGCAUGCCUAACACAUGCAAGUCGAACGAGACCUUCGGGUCUAGUGGCGCACGGGUGCGUAACGCGUGGGAACCUGCCCUUAGGUUCGGAAUAACUCCCCGAAAGGGGUGCUAAUACCGGAUAAUGUCUUCGGACCAAAGAUUUAUCGCCUUUGGAUGGGCCCGCGUUGGAUUAGCUAGUUGGUAGGGUAAAAGCCUACCAAGGCGACGAUCCAUAGCUGGUCUGAGAGGAUGAUCAGCCACACUGGGACUGAGACACGGCCCAGACUCCUACGGGAGGUAGCAGUGGGGAAUAUUGGACAAUGGGCGAAAGCCUGAUCCAGCAAUGCCGCGUGAGUGAUGAAGGCCUUAGGGUUGUAAAGCUCUUUUACCCGGGAUGAUAAUGACAGUACCGGGAGAAUAAGCUCCGGCGAACUCCGU
rnacentral:rRNA from 1 species